rnacentral:rRNA from 1 species
AUUGAACGCUGGCGGCAGGCCUAACACAUGCAAGUCGAACGAGUGGCGGACGGGUGAGUAAUGUCUGGGAAACUGCCUGAUGGAGGGGGAUAACUACUGGAAACGGUAGCUAAUACCGCAUACCAUCGGAUGUGCCCAGAUGGGAUUAGCUAGUUGGUGGGGUAACGGCUCACCUAGGCGACGCUACCUAGCUGGUCUGAGAGGAUGACCAUUCAUACUGGAAGUGAGACACGGUCCAGACUCCAACGGGAGGCAGCAGUGGGGAAAUUUGCACAAGGGGCGAAAGCCUGAUGCAGCCAUGCGGCGUGUAUGAAGAAGGCCGUCGGGUUGUAAAGUACUUUCAGCGGGGCGGCGUUACCCGCAGAAGAAGCACCGGCUAACUCCGUGCCAGCCGCCGCGGUAAUGC